rnacentral:tRNA from 1 species
AGGGAGAACCAACCUCAAAUGAUGAUCACCACUUUUUAGUGAUCCAUUUGACUGUUCAUUCCUAAGGUCGAUCGGUACCUCAGUGAGUGAUAAUCACUCAUCUCGGUCCUUAAGCUUGUCUAGGUCACCACCCCUUAGCUGAUAAGCUUUGUGGGAUGGGCCCGAGAGGGUUCCUGGGCCAUUAGCUCAGGUGGUUAGAGCGCACCCCUGAUAAGGGUGAGGUCCCUGGUUCAAGUCCAGGAUGGCCCAUCGGGAUUGGGGGUUUAGCUCAGCUGGUAGAGCGCCUGCUUUGCAAGCAGGAUGUCAGCGGUUCGAGUCCGCUAACCUCCAUUAGUCUUGAUAAUGGAACUGUGGCGCAGGGUGACUUAGAAGGAUGUUGGUGAUUCCAGCCUCGUUUGAUUCUUGUCUCAAGUUCAAACGAUGCUGGGCUCAGCAAUGGGUUCAGCAAGAACCUUGACAACUGCAUAGGUAAGUCUGGAAAUAAAGCAUCUCACAGAGAUGAUCCAGGCAUGAAGUGAUUCACGUUACGGCGUGAUUUGCUUGAUGUUUGGUUCAACAAUUCUGGAGAAAAGCCGAGUCCUGAAUCAAUUUGAUCAGGAACAAAAU